rnacentral:rRNA from 1 species
AGGACGAACGCUGGCGGCGUGCUUAACACAUGCAAGUCGAGCGGUAAGGCCUCCUUCGGGGGUACACGAGCGGCGAACGGGUGAGUAACACGUGGGUGACCUGCCCUCAGCUCUGGGAUAAGCCUGGGAAACCGGGUCUAAUACCGGAUGGACUGCUUGCCGCAUGGUGGGUGGUGGAAAGUUUUUUCGGCUGGGGAUGGGCCCGCGGCCUAUCAGCUUGUUGGUGGGGUGAUGGCCUACCAAGGCGGUGACGGGUA